AUGUAGAUGUAGAGGUACCCAAGCACAUGCAUAAUAAUGGACCAUUGCCAGGAUCUGAUGAUAAUUUUUCUCAGUUCAAGAAGGUCACUUACAAGAAACUCCAGUUCUCAAUAGAUUCUGGAGAUAACUGUGUGAAGGUUGGGUCAAAUAUAGGUCUGAUAAAGAACAUUUUGGUUAGAAAGGAUGGAGGUGAAGUGAUGGUACUCUUUGAAUCUUUUAGUAAUAUAUCCACCUUCUUUACAAGCCCACUAAGUUCAUCAGAUUUGGGUGUUUACAAGGUAUCACAUCUUAGAGGAAGGCUUGAUAUUAUUCCACUGUCAGAAAUAAUGUGCAAAUAUGUAAUGCUGCCUUAUAAGAAUGAUUUCUUUGUUGUAAUUCCAGUGAUUCACCAGUUUAAUAGACCAUGAGUGAUGCAGAAGUUGGGGCUAUGGUACUGGAUGUGUUAGUGUCUGCUUUUUCUUUAUUUACUUAGGGUUGCAUUUUGCUUUAAAGACACUUUCGUGGUUUUGUCUUGUUUUUUCCAACAGAUGGGUGAAAUAUUUGUUUUGGUGGAAUUCCUUAAGACAAAUGAUGUGGCUGUAAUCCCUUCAUCAUGGCUAGUUAGCAAAGACAAAGCACUGUGGCCUCCAUACCUUUCCUCAACACGAAUAAACAAUGCUGUCCGCAACAGAGAUUCACCAUGUACAGAAUGGACGAAGUAUUCUGUUAAAAUCAUGUAUGAAUCAGGUACAGUAUAUAUACAUUUUUUGUUUCACAAAGGUUUUGCUAUAUUUUAUUCAGAGAUUGCUAAGAAUAGGAGUAGUUACAGUAACUGGAAUUACAUAAUUCCAGUUAUGUACUUCAUUUUCUGCUACUCUUACUAGCCAUUUCUGGACUCAUUUAAUAUUAUCAGUCAUACUUCACAGAACACUGCGGCAUCCAGUCCACCCACUGUUGGUUCAUCACCUGGGACCUGUGUGUGUCCUUGUCUGUUGUGUUCGUCAUCUGGGAUGUCUGUGGUUGUUUGUGUCUGUUGUGUCUAAUUGUGCCUUUGUUGUGAGUACCCUGUUGUGUUGUAUUCACUUAUUUCAACACGUAUCUGUGUCUUUUUCACUUCUUUCAUUACAUACUUUUUAGGAAAAUUAGAAAUAAACAAAUUACCUAUGAAUAUAGUAUGUGCUUAAUUCUUUCAUUGUGGCAGAUUUCUCAAAAACUUCAUGAACUAACCUGGUACUAGCAUAAGGCAAGUAAAAGGAAUGAUCCUGUAUGGUAACCAAUGAUAAUAAAUGAGUAAUAUUUACUAAAUUUAUCCACAGAUACAUAUGAGAGAGCAAGAGCAAAGUAACUGUUGUCAACCGCUACGUAUCAUUCUGACCUACUGACGGAGGAUUCUGAGGAUGAUAUCAUUAGCCGUUGUUCAAAAAGGAAGAGGAGAUCUCCCAGCAGAUACACUGACCAUGAAAGUUCUGAAGAGGACUGCUUUAGUUCAAGGGCUAAGACAAAAGCUUCCAGCAGUAUCAGGGAUGUGGAGGUAAAAUCCAAAGACCAGAUUGCAAGACCAGUUCCACCUAGGCCAUCUGUACCGAGCUGUAUUGUGUCACAGCCACAGCUACCACCACCUGAGAGUCUGGAUGUAAAUGCCCGAGAUGCAAGAAUCUUUAUGGUGUUGGAAGAACUACGUGCUAUACUGCAUUCCCACUCCACCAAGCUGAAUACUCUCCUCAGACACCACAGUGUGCAAGAACAAGAUCAAGCAGUACCAGAGGGCAUUCACUUCCCUGUGAAGGAUAUGAAUGAAAUGGAAGCCCUAGAAAGCAAACUGAUGGAUCCUGACCUAGAGAAGAAAGUUAUUGCAAGUCUGUAUGUAAUAGGUGGAUCAGGUCUUCCAGACACAGUGAGGCGCAUUCUGCGAUACACUGUGAGCAACUCCUUGGCCAUCCACCUCAAUUGGUGUGGCAAAGGAAUGAAACGGAGCUUUUGCACAAUGAAGCUGAAGGAUACAAUAAUUAGUAAGUGGCUUAUGAUGCAGUCACAGGCUAACAGUUAUCUCACCUAGAACAAGUAAACAAUGAAAGGGUCCAUUGGUAUACAAGACUGUAAUGUAAUGUGUUGUAUUGUUUAUCUUCAUUUGGGUUACUACGUGACCAGACACAAAUCCCUAAGGUAAAAGCAAUGGCUAGAACUACCCUACAUAUCCUUGUCUGCCAAGUGUGAUGGGAGAAAAAGUGUUUCCAUGCAGUUACAAAUAUGCAGUAAUGCUUAGUAUACAUUCCUAUAGUAUUUUUUUUCUGUGCUAUGCAUAGACUUAUGGCAUAUGCCAUACUUGAGGCUCGCCACACUGUAGCAGCUUUCCGCAAAGAUGUAUACUUGUUUGUUGAUAGCCAGGCUGCAUUACAUGAACCUGUGUCCUCCUCCCCUACAGACUGUGAUCUUGUGACUAAGUGCCUGACUGCCCUCCGUGCCCUUGAGGCCGCAGGUGCCACGGUCCACUUCACCUGGGUGCCCUUCCAUCCAGCACAAUGAAAAGGCAGACUGCCUUGCUCGACGUGCCCUUCAGGAUGACACAGUGGACCCUGACACUGACUAUACGCUUAGCUAUGUUAAGAAUAUAAUUAGGGAUUAUUUCCAUAAUAACAUUGCUACCCAACUCAGACACUGCUGUGACAAUGGUAGCACCAGCAGCCUCCAUUAUGCAAGUGUCUCCCACCACUGUUUACCCCUAUGGGCGACACAGUGCACCUCAGGAUGUGGUAGCAAUGCGUCUUAGGCUAGGCUAUAGGUACUACUGGGAGGUUAUUAACUCCCCUGUGUCUGCUGCACGCUGUGUGCCAGGCCGAGGGACACACACUGCAACACUGUCAUGGAAUGUCGGGGCCCUUUCAUUGUUUUUUUUUAAGCCACGGGACUGCCUUGACCUUAAAUGUCGUUGAUAAUAGAUCUACAUUAAAUAUAUAGGAAAAUUUUAUGUACUUUUCAUAACUCAAGCCAUCAAUUCUUUUUUUAAUUUUUCGUCUAGAUGCAAAAACAAGUGGUAAAUUCCCUUAGUUCCGCCCAAGAGAUCGCAAUGUUUUGAGUCUAUCUGCCGAUUGUAAGCUCCGCCCACAGACUCUGUAAGCUCCGCCCACUGGCUUCACUCGCCUGUAUGGGGACGGCGCGGGAGGGCGCCUCCUGUUAUAAUACCUCCAUGGUUCCACAGCGAAAUACCUCUGACGUUGAAGAACCUCUUGCGGAUCUCUAAUUCAGUUCUUAUGUGUGCAACCUUAUAUUGAUGGACUCUUGUGGUGCCUAGAGGUGGACUGACAAACAUAUCCUCGGGGGCAAUAGCACAGAAACCGUGAAAUAUUUGCCAAUACUUCACCAUGUCAUGUCGUAGCAGCCGACCAUGGACAGAGUACAAGUCCAAAGCCUUCAGUCUCUGGGAAUAACUUAGAUGCUUCAUACCUCUAAUGUUCCUGGUCCAACGUCUCUGCA